rnacentral:rRNA from 1 species
GAUGAACGCUGGCGGCGUGCCUAAUACAUGCAAGUCGAGCGAACGGACGAGAAGCUUGCUUCUCUGAUGUUAGCGGCGGACGGGUGAGUAACACGUGGAUAACCUACCUAUAAGACUGGGAUAACUUCGGGAAACCGGAGCUAAUACCGGAUAAUAUUUUGAACCGCAUGGUUCAAAAGUGAAAGACGGUCUUGCUGUCACUUAUAGAUGGAUCCGCGCUGCAUUAGCUAGUUGGUAAGGUAACGGCUUACCAAGGCAACGAUGCAUAGCCGACCUGAGAGGGUGAUCGGCCACACUGGAACUGAGACACGGUCCAGACUCCUACGAGAGGCAGAAGUAGGGAAUCUUCCGCAAUGGGCGAAAGCGUGACGGAGCAACGCCGCGUGAGUGAUGAAGGUCUUCGGAUCGUAAAACUCUGUUAUUAGGGAAGAACAUAUGUGUAAGUAACUGUGCACAUCUUGACGGUACCUAAUCAGAAAGCCACGGCUAACUACGUG